rnacentral:rRNA from 1 species
UACGAAGGGGGCAAGCGUUGUUCGGAAUUACUGGGCGUAAAGGGCGCGUAGGCGGCCGAUCAAGUCAGGCGUGAAAUUCCCGGGCUCAACCUGGGGGCUGCGCUUGAUACUGAUUGGCUUGAAUGCGGGAGAGGGAUGCAGAAUUCCAGGUGUAGCGGUGAAAUGCGUAGAUAUCUGGAGGAAUACCGGUGGCGAAGGCAGCAUCCUGGACCGGCAUUGACGCUGAGGAGCGAAAGCCAGGGGAGCAAACGGG